UGGGGAAUAUUGGGCAAUGGACGCAAGUCUGACCCAGCAACGCCGCGUGAAGGAAGAAGGCUUUCGGGUUGUAAACUUCUUUUAAGGGGGAAGAGUAGAAGACGGUACCCCUUGAAUAAGCCACGGCUAACUACGUGCCAGCAGCCGCGGUAAUACGUAGGUGGCAAGCGUUGUCCGGAUUUACUGGGUGUAAAGGGCGUGUAGCCGGGCCGACAAGUCAGAUGUGAAAUCCACGGGCUUAACCCGUGAACUGCAUUUGAAAACUGUUGGUCUUGAGUAUCGGAGAGGUAACCGGAAUUCCUAGUGUAGCGGUGAAAUGCGUAGAUAUUAGGAAGAACACCAGUGGCGAAGGCGGGUUACUGGACGACAACUGACGGUGAGGCGCGAAAAGCGU
rnacentral:rRNA from 1 species